AACAGUGCUAUGAAGGAUACAGUGGCUAGAAGUCAUCCUGUCGUCCUGCCUCACAGUAACAUCGUUACCAAAUUCUCAGCAGGUGAACCAAAUGAAAUGGUCAACUGAAAGCCAACCAGGCAAAAAAUCACCAUGUACCAACCUAUUCAAACUUAUCCAUGGAUGAAUCUAUCCAGAAGACAGGAGUUCCGAUGCUUGUCUUGCUCUGAAUGUCUGCUUGUCACCUGCUUAGCAUUAUCGACUGUGAUUCUGGGACUCGUUGUUGUUCUACAGGACCCCUCUGACUCUGUGGUUUUCUCUAUUGGAUUAACAAUGAUAGCCAUAGGUGCUUUUUUUGUUGUCCUCACUGGAGUGACAGCCCUGUGUACGGUUACAGUCGACGAGAACUUGCGGAAAACCACGAGGCUAAGACUAGGAGUGAUACGAAAAAGCGGAAGUCUCCAAGGAACUACAGAGCCUUCCAUGACUCA
rnacentral:lncRNA from 1 species